GAGGAUAUAGCUCAGUGGUAGAGCACAUACUUAGCAUGCACGAGAUCCUGGGUUCAAUCCCCAGUACCUCU
rfam:Camelus ferus unplaced genomic scaffold scaffold15685, whole genome shotgun sequence.